AUAUUCUGCAGAAAGAAAAAAAUACAUUAAAACUUCUGAUGUUUGUAGCAAAAAGGUAGAAUGUCAUAUCUAAAUUGAAACUGCAAUCAGAUUCGUUACCAUUUUCUUUUAAAUCUUGUUUUUUCUUCGCUGUGUAGUUUACCACUGUGGUGCCUGUAACAUCAGGGCGUUGUGAAUCUCCAGUUUUUUUAGUUACAACGUUUACCAGAAGCUCUACAUCCACAUCCGUAGGAUCAUCUAUGUCAGAUUCCUCUGUUUCUGUAUCAGUAUUAUCUUGAGAACUACAGUCAAAUACUUGUAAUUCAUCAGUAUCUUCUAUUCCUGCAUAUGAAUAGAUAAUAUUAAUAUAAAUUCAAAGUGUAAAACUAAAGUGUAGGCAAUUACAUUACAUCAAACCUCCAAAUAAAUCAUUUCCAACUACAGCAUCAUCUUCGUAUAUGUUCUGAGCCGAGGCAUUGCUUUUAGGUGAUGGUAACUUUUCAUUUUUUUCCUUAAAUGUGAGAUAUUCGUAAUAUCUUUCAGUACAUUACGUGUUGACCUUCUUGAAGUUGAAGCUCCUUUCUUUUGAAUCCCAGGUUUAAUAGAGCUGAAGCUUGUCUUUUCUAGAUCCCCUGGUUUAAAAUUAGUAAUAUGGUUGUAAUGAGUAUAAGUAAUUAAAAGAUACACGGCUUGUUUUAAGUAAAAACAGAAGUAUGCAAACUUGUUAAUGAUGCGAAGCAAGAUCUCAGCUCUGGGGUGUCUGGAACUUGUGAUCUAAUUUGGUCGAGACCUUGGAAACAUAUCAAAAUUAAACUCAUUAUAAAGGAUUUCAAGGUUAAGCGAUUUGUGGUGAUAAGCAUGGUUGGACAUGAAACACUUACCAAGGACACACCUUCGUAUAUUUCUUGGUGUCUGCGGUGAAAGCAUGCUUAUCUGGUCAUAUGGGGUUGUAUUGCUUGGUUCGACUCCAGUGAUUGGUUCCAGUUUUUUCCGUUUCAUCUUCAGAAAAUCGAGACCAAGAAAUUUUCCUCGUUUCAGUAAGAGGAUGAGAGAGUAGCUGAAAGAGGAGAUUGGCCGUGUAUGAUAAAUUUAUUUAAGAGGUAUUCUUCAAUUACUUUUUCUAAUUCUAGAUUCAUAAUAUAUGGUUGGCUUUAAUUUAGGAAAACUGUUGAUAACAAUUAGGAUUCUUGAUAUCUUUUUUUCAGUGAUAUACUUCUGAUUUUGGUACUCUACUUUAUAUAACUUUAAAUUGUUUUUAAAGGUCGUAGUAAAUGGAGAUUACAAAGGCCUGUGAAGAAUAAGGAAGCAUCAAAGUGUUAUAUGAAUCAAAACUGUCUUAUAGCAGGCGACUACUAUGAUAUUGAACAGCUUCUUGGAAGAAGAUGAUAUGUCUGUUAGAUCAGAAUGAUCUACUUUGCGCUUUGUGAUGGGAGUGGGACAAUCUUCUGAUGACUUCUGAUCCAACAUCAGAACCUAAAAUUAGAUCAAAUUAAUCAGUAAGAUUGUAUUAUAAAAAUCCAAGUUAAAACAGACACAAAGUAAGACCAAAUAUAAAAUUUCAAGUUAAAACAGACAAAAAAGAAGACCAAAUGUAAGGCUCACGUUUUUUAAUACUAAUAAACUUACAGAUCCAGAUGACA